AGCUCCAAUAGCGUAUAUUAAAGUUGCUGCAGUUAAAAAGCUCGUAGUUGCAUUUCCGAGGCAAGGGAUUAGUCCGACCUUUGGUGGGUAUUUAAUCCUCUUGCCUCGUCCUUGAGUGGUGCUUCUUGGUAUUAAGUUAUCGAGGAGAUAGCCGCUCAUCGUUUACUGUGAGAAAAUUAGAGUGUUCAAAGCAGGCUUAUGCCGUUGAAUAUAUUAGCAUGGAAUAAUAAGAUAGGACCUCGGUACUAUUUUGGUGGUUUGAGAACCAAGGUAAUGAUGAAUAGGGACAGUUGGGGGUAUUCGGAUUCAGUUGUCAGAGGUGAAAUUCUUAGAUUUACGGAAGACGAACUACUGCGAAAGCAUUUACCAAGGAUGUUUUCA
rnacentral:rRNA from 1 species